AACGAACGCUGGCGGCAGGCCUAACACAUGCAAGUCGAACGCUCUCUUCGGAGAGAGUGGCAGACGGGUGAGUAACGCGUGGGAAUCUACCAGGUGGCGCGGGACAACGCAGAGAAAUUUGUCGCUAAUACCGCAUAAGCCCUCCUUUAGAGAUACUGGAGGGGAAAGAUUUAUCGCCAUUUGAUGAGCCCGCGUUUGAUUAGCUUGUUGGUGAGGUAAUGGCUCACCAAGGCAACGAUCAAUAGCUGGUCUGAGAGGAUGAUCAGCCACACUGGGACUGAGACACGGCCCAGACUCCUACGGGAGGCAGCAGUGGGGAAUAUUGGACAAUGGGCGCAAGCCUGAUCCAGCCAUGCCGCGUGAGUGAUGAAGGCCCUAGGGUUGUAAAGCUCUUUUCAACGGUGAAGAUAAUGACGGUAACCGUAGAAGAAGCCCCGGCUAACUUCGUGCCAGCAGCCGCGGUAAAAGUAACUCUAU
rnacentral:rRNA from 1 species